UUGCAGCAUCCGAUGAGAAACCAAGGUAGUUCCUCGGCCUGGCAGAUAACUCUCUAGACAUAAUUCUUUCACAAGUCACUGAUAGCAAUUUGAGUCAUUCCUCAGUUUGGAAUAGGACUGCAUCAUGGAGGUCUAAAUGUUAGAGAUAGAUCCUUGGUCGAGGAACUCUUUUCAAACAACAAGAUUCAGGUAUUGGUAUGCACUAGCACACUGGCUUGGGGUGUCAAUCUUCCAUCUCACCUUUUCAUAAUCAAGGGUACUGAAUACUAUGGUGAGAAAACAAAAAGAUAUGUUGAUUAUGUUAUCACAGAUAUUCUGCAAACGAUGGGUCGUGCAGGCCGACCACAGUAUGACCAACAUGGCAAAGCUGUUAUUCUUGUUCAUGAACCAGAGCUUUUAUAAGAAGGUGGCAUGUUAACUUUGUGUAC